UGCUUUUCUUCUCGGCCUAUCUCACUGGACUGCAAUCCCUAGGACUGUUUGUUCCCAAUUUUCUCCCAGAUUCAAAAAAUAUCAAUGUGGUUAGCUCUUUCAGAGCAUGGGGAAGUAUGCCUAGAUUUGCAGUAGUAGGUCCUGUUAUUAGGUGAUACUUAUAUUAAAAAAAAAAAAAGCCUACUGAAACCAGACGUAUGACUUGAAUUAAUAAAAGAAGAGUAGUUCCUGCAAGUUCCAGAAAUAUUACUCAGAAAUAAUGUGCUUUCCAGACCCCUAAUGCUGACUAGGGUAAACUUAACCUCUCAGCGCAAUAGGCUCCCGAUAAAUCCCUUUAUGCCAAUGGGAAAAUAAGCUAGUGCCAAGAUAUUUUUAACUGGUCUGCACAAACACAUCUUCAUUUGCAUCCAACAAGAUGUAACCUUAGCAACAGUGUGUAUUUUUGGACUCCUUUUCAUUUAAUGCAAAUGAAGCUCCAGUGAUAUACCCGGAAUCGGAUGAUAGAAUUCAACGUGACCAAUUCAUGUGUCUGAGGCCUCCAAGUCCUUUGCCCGCCCGGCAGGAUUCUGAUUUCCUAUCACCAGCAUGAAUCAGUAUGACCCAAACUGGAAUUAUUUUAGAGCACUAAUUUCUCUUGCUCACUUUUUUUUUAAAGUCAUGUUUAACUGUCACUCCUGUUCUAAAUGGUCUAAAAUAUAGAAGAAGCUGUCUAUUGUGUAAAGAGCUCAGGUUUCACAUUUCAACAGAUAAUUAAAAAUGUGUUUAUGCUUCUUCUGACCUCCGACCUGGAAGCCAUUACCUGCCACCUCUGAGCCAGUGUGUCUUCUCUGAAAUGGAGGCAAUCAUUAAUUUGACAAUUUUCCUCCCUUCUAAAGGUGAGAAAAGAGAGCAGAACAUUCCAGAAGGAAGACAUGCCCUGGCCAAGGCCCUCAGGGGUAAAUUGUUAUGGGCACCCAGGUCUCCCGUUUCAAGAUCUUCCAAAAUCUGGCUCCCUGUGAUGGUUAAUUUUAUGUGUCAUCUUGUCUGGACCAUGGGGUGCCCAGAUUAAACAUUAUUUUUGGGAGGGGGCAGUGUUUGAAGACGUUUUU
rnacentral:lncRNA from 12 species